rnacentral:rRNA from 1 species
GUCCCCAGUUUGAUCCUGGCUCAGAUUGAACGCUGGCGGCAUGCUUUACACAUGCAAGUCGAACGGCAGCACGGGGGCAACCCUGGUGGCGAGUGGCGAACGGGUGAGUAAUGCAUCGGAACGUAUCUUUAAGUGGGGGAUAACGCAUCGAAAGAUGCGCUAAUACCGCAUAAUCUCCGAGAAGAAAAGCAGGGGAUCGCAAGACCUUGCGCUUUUGGAGCGGCCGAUGUCUGAUUAGCUAGUUGGUGGGGUAAAGGCUUACCAAGGCUUCGAUCAGUAGCUGGUCUGAGAGGACGACCAGCCACACUGGGACUGAGACACGGCCCAGACUCC